rnacentral:rRNA from 1 species
AUACGUAGGGGGCGAGCGUUGUCCGGAAUGAUUGGGCGUAAAGGGCGCGUAGGCGGCCCGGUAAGUCUGGAGUGAAAGUCCUGUUUUUAAGAUGGGAAUUGCUUUGGAUACUGUCGGGCUUGAGUGCAGGAGAGGUAAGUGGAAUUCCCAGUGUAGCGGUGAAAUGCGUAGAGAUUGGGAGGAACACCAGUGGCGAAGGCGAGUUACUGGACUGUAACUGACGCUGAGGCGCGAAAGUGUGGGGAGCAAACAGGAUUAGAUACCCUGGUAGUCCACACUGUAAACGAUGAAUGCUAGGUGUAGGGGGUAUCGACCCCUUCUGUGCCGCAGUCAACACAAUAAGCAUUCCGCCUGGGGAGUACGGCCGCAAGGUUGAAACUCAAAUGAAUUGACGGGG